rnacentral:lncRNA from 1 species
GGGGUGAUUCAUAAAUAGUGUAAAUAGACAUUCUAGAUUACUUUUGUGAGAUUGACCGAACAAUCCUAUCAUUUGUUUAAAGAGUAUUGCUAACAAGUGUCUGAGAGCAUUAAGGCACUUGUUAGCAUUUUCCUUGUUUAAAUCCCUCUUAAUUGUAAUUUUUUUGUAAUGAGUUAGAGUAUCCGUUGUACUCUCUAUUAAUAUAAUCUUUGCAUAUCUAAAAAACAUAAAGAUAAAAAUGGUGUUGAUAAAUGCAAAAUAAAUUAC